CAAACUUUAAAACGGGUCAAUUUGACCUGCAGGACGACAGGAAGGUUAAACAUGAGCAGCCUGAGGAGCGCUGCCAUCUCCAUCUCCAUCAGACCUACAACAGCUUCUGAACCUUCACCAAAACAUUUAUAAAAACUAAAAGUAAAACCAGUUCUGCAGUCAACGACUUUGCAGAGAUGGUAUGAAGAGGAGACCACAUGAAGGACUGAGGGUAAUAUGACAUCGUUCUCCAGAUUUCUGAGAAAAAGCAACCCGGCUCUUUCUCAGUCUGAAGACAGACCCAUUCCUCCCCAAGGGUUCCGCUCAGCGCAAACCCAAGAAAGACUUUUUCUCUGCAUUGUGUAGAAGACAUGUUGUGAAAAGUUCUGGCAGCAGUGGGGGAUGUCUGUGUGAGGGCCUCAUUCAUGGCUGUGGAAAUAUGAUGUGGUGGGUAGAUGCAUAUGGGGCUGUAUACCCCCCCCCCCCCUCCAUUAUCUGAAGUGCAUUCAAACCACGUCAUCCCAGUGAAGCUUCAUUCUGUUGCCCAGCAGAACACAUCGGCUCUGAGCCUUGCUGGUUUCUUUCUCUGUUUCUACGACACAAUGCAGGGACUAACCGGGAAGGCACCUUAUGGAUCCCUGGAGGACCACCAGGACUGGACAGCACACGUCCUCCCAGCACUCACCCUCUACUGUGGGAGAAUAUAGUCCUCUCAUCUCAUACUACCAUCAAUAAACUGAUAUCUCCUGAGCACAAUGCACUUCCAGGGCACAAUACCGGGGAAUUCUGUGAGAACGCUCAGAGGUGUCUCUAAACAUGUGAUGCAGUUACAUACGAGCUUCAGAAGACUGAAACGAACCCAUCUGGAAAAAAAGGAGCAAAAUCCACAAAACCCAAAAAGACUCCCAAGAACAAAACCCCAGCAGUGAUCAGCAGGGGAUUUCCAGCUGAAACGGUGAGCCGGUUGGGAAUGGGCCACCGACCUCUGGGCAGCGUUCCUUUAACUGUGUGGGAACGCAGCACUCUGAAUGAGACCAGCUGAAUGACACCAGGACAAACGCCACCAACGUGCACAGAUGUACGGUGACAGGGACACAGCUGGAGCGACAGGGAAGAGCUGGAAGUUGGAAGCUAUGGUGGGAUCCGUCUAGAUCGUCAGUUUUACUGGACCUUCACAUGGAAGCAGACAUUUUACUGUGGAAGCUACAGGACUGGAGUGUAUCUUAGACUGGUCUAAGUCUAAGACUAAGACUGGAGUGUAUCUUAGACUGGUCUAAGUCUAAGACUAAGACUGGAGUGUAUCUUAGACUGGUCUAAGUCUAAGACUGGAGUGUAUCUUAGGGUGCUUUCACACCUGUUAGUCCGCUAGAGUGGUUCAUUUGGACCCAAAAGUUGUUACAAUGUUGCUAUUUUCAACUGGUUCGGUUCGCAUUCACACCAGUGUUUUCGCAGUAUAUCUCCCCCCAGUCGUUUGGCGGCGCUGUUUACAAAACAAGGCGUUUACGAUGACGUAGGUGUACGCUGAUUGGCGCAGCAUGUGAAGAGGGAAAAAUCCCGGAAGAAAACAACAGGCUGUGUUUAUUUCAUGGACCGCGGUUUAUUCGUAAACAAUGAACUAUGCUCUCCUGUUCGUUCUUGUUGCCAUAUAUUCGUGUUAUUGUUUUAUGCAGCAAGCACAAAUACUGCUGUUGUUUCAGCAUGAAGCUCGCAUUCGGUACGAGAACAUUAUACAGUCGUUUUUGGCACGGAGAAGACGCAUUGCAAGACGUUAUCGGAGAAAGCGGGCGAGAAUGUGGUUUAGCUAGCGCGAGUUUUUUUGCGCCUCCCAAAAUUCCCUGUGCAGGUUGCUACGGAAGCUCCCGUAGACCAAAAAGUCUGCUGCUCCAUCAAGCCGGUCCGAAUGGAGACAGGUUUGUGUUCUCACCAGGAGCGAACCAAACUGGAGUUCACAUAGAAGCGGACCGAGACCACCUCCCGAAAGUGGUCUCGGUGCGGUUUGUUAGUCCGAACCAAAAAAAUCUGGUAUGCUUUCACAUCAGCCCAAACGAACCGUACUUGCAGGUGUUGCGGACUCCAGUCCGCUUUAAGCGGACUAAAAGACGUAGGUGUGAAAGCACCCUUAGACUGGUCUAAGACUAAGACUAAGACUGGAGUGUAUCUUAGACUGGUCUAAGACUAAGACUAGAGUGUAUCUGUGAAGGUUUGGUCAUUGGAAGAAGAGCAUCGACGGGAACAUCUGCUUUGUAUCGAUAAAUGACCUGAACAAACACAAUCAAUAAGGUCACAGUCUACCUGAUGCUCAUUUCUAGGAGACAGGACUUUGAUGAAGAGUUUCCAUCCAUGACAACAGAAAACAAGAGUUGAAGUGAAUUAGCCCUGAGCGAUAAAACAACAGCAGUCUGGACCAGCUAUAGGCGGGUCAGUCUAUAACUUUCCUAUAGGUUUUGAAGUCCGUGGGAUAUAUCUGCAUACAUUUGUAUUAAAAGUAAUAAAAGUAAUGUUUUUUAUGUUUAUUAUGAUCAUGUCUUUAUAAAUUCCAUAAUUAUUUAUUAUGGAAACAAUCACUUAUUAUUAAAAAAUAACUAGAUAUCACUAAAAUGUCAACUAUGUUACAAAAAGUCCCAUUAUUGUAUAUUGACCCGUCCAGAAUGAUUUGAAAAUGAUCCAUAAUUUCGGAAAAUUAGUCCACAAUGACAUGAAAUUAGUCCUAAAUGACUUAGAAAUUGUCCCAAAGACACAAAAAUGAUCCAAAAUGACGAGAAAAGAUCCAAGCUGACUUAAAACUUGAUGAAAAUGACAAGAAAAUUGUCCAAAAUGACUCAAAAUUUGUCCAGGUCAAUCUAUAACUCAACUAUGGUAUAAAAGGUCAAUUCUAUUUUGACCCAGGCACUUUAUACAGCAGUAAGAAAAUCAUUUACGAGAAUGUUCAGAAGUUUCAUGCUGUUUAGAUUUAAAUAAAUUAGUAACGGUAGUAAGCGUGCUCCAUUUUGGCUCAGAAUCAGCCUAUUGUAUUUCCUGAUGAUGGGAUUUCACACAGACCAGUCAGAUAUGCGAGUCUGCUGCCACUGAUUCAGCCUCUUCACCUCUAUCCACACCCCCUGACCUCCUGAGGUUCAGUCUGGAUCUGGUCUGUUAUGGUCUCCUCCUGACUGGACUCCCACGUCUCACCACCACCUCCACCUGAGCCACUUCCUUCCAGGAGGCUGACAGGCUGGACUUUGCGUGGAGGUUAAUGUGUUUCCUGUCCAGUGAUCCUGGUGUUGGUGGUCCACUCGGUGUCUAAUGUUAGCAUGAUGUGAACGAUUCAAACUGGUUCCUCUACCUGAACCUCUGAAGGCAGCACCCGACGUUCAAGAGCUGCUUUAACAUUUGGACAUUUGUUGGUCUUCUUGAUGAACAUAAAGAUUCCCCAAUCUUUAUGCAUUUCCAUUUAUUUGUGCAUUUUCAUUGCUGUUCUAAACACAUUAGCAUUAAAAUUAUCUUCCAAAU